rnacentral:rRNA from 1 species
UACGAAGGGGGGCUAGCGUUGCUCGGAAUUACUGGGCGUAAAGGGCGCGUAGGCGGCACUGUUAGUCAGGCGUGAAAGUCCUGGGCUUAACCUGGGAACUGCGCUUGAUACGGCAGAGCUAGAGGAUGGAAGAGGGUCGCGGAAUUCCCCAGUGUAGAGGUGAAAUUCGUAGAUAUUGGGAAGAACACCGGUGGCGAAGGCGGCGACCUGGUCCAUUACUGACGCUGAGGCGCGACAGCGUGGGGGAGCAAACAGG